rnacentral:rRNA from 1 species
AUGUGGGUGCCGCUCCUCGCCUCCAAGGACGAGGCGGAGCGAGCCAUCGUCAAGCAGCAAGCGGCAGCAGAGGUCGAGUGCGGCCACAAGCUGUGCGUGCCGCGCACGGACCAUGGCGGCGAGUUCACGUCGGCCACGUUCUACAAGCACUGCGCCGAGAAUGGGGUGCAGCGUCACCUCAAAGCCCCUUACUCGCCGCAGCAGAACAGCGUCGUCGAGCGGAGGAACCAGACGGUGCUCGGGAUGGCAUGCUGCAUGCUCAAGGCAAAGCAGGUGCCGAGCACGUAUUGGGGGGAGGCCGUACUCACGGCCGUCUUCAUCCUCAACCGCUCCUUCACAAGGAGCAUCGACGGCAAGGCGCCUUACGAGGCGUGGUAUGGGAGGAAGCCCGAUGUACGCUUCCUCCGCACCUUUGGCUGCGUCGGGCACGUCAAGAUGACGCGCCCACAGCUCAAGAAGCUCGACGACAGGAGCACCCCAAUGGUGUUCAUGGGCUAUGAGACGGGCUCUAAGGCGUACAAGAUGUACGACCCCGUCUCAAAGCGUGUGCAUGUCUCGCGCGAUGUCAUCUUCGACGAAGACGCGCGAUGGACUUGGGAGGCGUCGGGAGAGGCCCCGACAAGCAGCUCCUUCACUGUGGAGUACCCGAUGUACUCUACAACCUCGGGAAGCCCGGGAGGUGUGGAUCCGGAAACCGCAACCCCGGGUAUGAUGUCCCCGGACACCCCGACGUCAAGCAAGGUGGGUCCCGGGAGGCAGUUUGUGACCCUGCCAACAGCAAGGUUGGAGCUGUUCGACGCCGACGACAGCGUUGGCGCCCCCCACAGGUUUCGGAGCAUGGGGGAUCUCCUCGGCGAGGCUGCGACAACACCGCAACAGCCUGCGGAAGAGGACGUUGAUGACGACGACGUCUUGCAUCUGAUGGCCGGCGAGGAGCCGAACACAUUCGCGGAGGCCGAGCAAGAGGAUUGCUGGCGCCACGCGAUGCUGGACUAG